UGGCUGCACCUGUGUCAUAUGGAAGUUUCCAGACCAGGGACUGAAUCCAAGUUGCAGCUGCAACAAUGGCAGAUCCUUUAACCCACUGAGCUAGGCCUCUGCAGUUGGAUUCUUAACCCAAUGCACCACGGUGGGAGCUCUGAGUCUCACCCUUCUAAUCAACAAAAUAGAGGGGCUGGGUGGCAUGGUUCCUCUGUUCCUCCUGGGCUCUGGGAACCUGCGUCUGAAAGGUUCAAGAGCUGAUCUCCGCUGCAGGGAAGCAGUUUAUUGGUUUGAGCAGUGUGAGCAGUAUGUGUGUGUGUCUCUGCUGGGCCCUCCCUGUAGCUCCGUGGCUGGAGUCCCUGCUUGCCCAACUUGCCUUUUGGCCUUUCAUCUAAGACAUGUAAGAAAUUCUCAGGCCAUGGAAAAAAGGAAGAAACCAAAAAAUCAACCCAGGCCCAAAGGCAGCAAUGACAGAAAGAACUGCCAUCACUUCCCUAACCAGCUGCUGGAAGCACAGCCAGCCUUCCCCACCCUGGAGAGCUAGGACUGUCCCCCAUCACUGGGCAGCAGCAGCCCCUGUCCUGGGAGGGAGCCGGCUGUCCACACAUUGGAGGUGAUGGCCUGGGAUGGGGGUUGGUUACCUACAGCCCCCAGCAUACGUGACACUCAUCCUGCUCCCUGGCCAGCCCACUGGGGAUGCUAAGGCCUGACAGUGCUGACACUUGUCAUCUUGUUGGGGACCCUUCUCCGAGUCCUUCUGCUUGGGUAGCUCUGGCUCACACGUGGCACUAGAGCCCUCACGGAGGAAGCCAAGCCAACACAUUCAAGCCUUUAACUCCCUCGGCCCAGCAUCAAUGCACACGGAGGAAAAUGUGCCUCUACUCCUCCUUCUGCUCAGCUCCCUGCCCCCCAACCUGCCACCAGAUGGGGCCUCAGCCCUGUGGAGACUCGGGGCGUUCUUUGAGCAAAGGGCCUCAUGGCUGACAAAAGCUGUGAGAUCCCUUCCCCUCCAUCAUCGUCCUUACCAGCUGGUGCUGACUCAGCUUCAGUUGGAGGCCCACUAGAUGCCCUCUUCCCUCUGGCCCGUCUUGCUGCCAAGUCACCUUGGUCAUGUCACAAGGUCAACCUAAGGCCUAACCACCCACAAACCCAAUUCCUUUCCCUGCCUGCUUGAGGCCUUGCUCCUGUGUCUUACCUGAAGCCUUACCUUUUCCUCUUGGUGUGGCUAGAAACGAUUUACCUUUCCUAACAGGGGCAUGGCCUUGUCCCAUAGGCCCCACCUGGGUGGCAGUGACAAUGGCAAUGAUGACAGAACCUCUAUAGGAUUUACCAGGCUGGGCUCUGUACUGAACAUUUGACACCUGUUUUAACACACUCAGCCCUCACAACAACUCUUACCAGGAAGGUAAAAUUACCUAGUCCCAUUUAACAGAAGUAAGGCCCAGAGAGGUCAGGUAACUUGUCCAGGGUCACUCAGCAAGUCUAAGAUAGAAUGGAAUUCAAAUCCAGGCAGACUGGCUCCGAAGCCUGUUUUUAUCCAGUCCUCGAAGCUGCCUCUGCAACAGUCUCGAUGGGAGAGACAUUCUCGGGUCAUUGGUCACACUUCCAGGCCGAGAUUUGUUAUAUCCUGGCCUGUGAGCUCCCUGGAGGCAAGAACCAGCCUUUGGCUGCUCAAUAAAGACACAGCUUGUUGACCAGGGAAACCACAGAUACCUCCAUUUGGCCUGCCUGUCAGUUGGUGUGGUUCUGGCAGGGGGACAGACGAACAGGCCAGGGGCCAGGCGCUGGGGAGGGGUCGGCAGCAAGGCCAGAAAGGCAGAGUGGCACCGCAGCCUGAGUUCAGUCCCAGCAUCCUGGACGGGAGCCACGGCUGGCUGGCAUCCUCCCUCCACCCCCCACACUCUCCUGAGCACCCUGAAGAUUCCAGCGUGUAAUCAGGCACCUCAUGUGACUAGACAAGCCCCUGCAGGUAUGAAACUGGUUGUGGGGGGGGGGGAUGUGCCUGGGAACACACGCCCUCACAGGCAUGAACUUCUGCCCCCUCCCCUCCCAGCCGCCCCACUCAGUUGUUGCCCAGCUGUUGUUUUCUGUCUGAGGUCAGGCUCCUUUCCUCUCAUGUGCUGUGGUUUGGGGCCAGGCCAGUUAGAGAUGGAGAGUAUGAAGCUGCUUGGGAGCAAAGGAGGUGCGGUGUGGGCAGGGCGGGCCCUCAGCCCUGCCCCGGGGCACAGCCUAAACAGGCCUCCACCCUCGAGAGGGCCCAAACCCUCAAGGGGGCUCCCAGGUCCAGCGCCUCUCUGCCCACCUGGAGCCCCCAGCAGUCAGCUCCAGAAGCUGCCAUUCACCAGAUGGCCAACAGCUGGCCUCGCUGAGCGGCUGCCAGAGGUGGCUGGCGAGGCUGCCGGCUGGGUCCCCUGGGCAGAGGUCGCCCCAUCAGAGCAGUCUCGGGGGCUCGCGUCUGGGGAGGAGGGUCGGGCCGGGCCGGGGCAUCGUGCCCCAAAAGUCGUCGUCCUCCUCCCCCUCCCCCCGCGCAGCGUUUCUUCCCUCCCCACCUCAGUGGGGUGGUGUUUUCAUAACAGGAAGAUAAAAUCAAUAUGCCACAGCGUGGAUGUCAGUGCGCUCCGAGCUGGCCUCCGAUAGCUCCAUUGUCUCGGGCCUCGGCUGGGCUCUGUGCCGGCAGCACUCCCGGUUAUUAAUGGGAAGCAGGGCUGAAAGGGAGUUUUGAAAAUCACGGGGACAAAGGCACAGCACACCUGGAGCGCGACUGUCCGACACCACCGCCCCC
ensembl:lncRNA